UGGUUCUGGCAUCGAUGAAGAACGCAGCGAAAUGCGAUAAGUAAUGUGAAUUGCAGAAUUCAGUGAAUCAUCGAAUCUUUGAACGCACAUUGCGCCCGCCAGUAUCCGGCGACAAUCACCUGUCGCCGCCCCCUAAAUGAAUUGGCGGCCCCGUCGCGGCCCUCCUCUGCGUAGUAGCAUACACCUCGCAACAGGAGCCCGUCGGUGGCCACUGCCGUAAAACACCCCAAACUUUUUUAGAGUUGACCUCGAAUCAGGUAGGAAUACCCGCUGA
rnacentral:misc_RNA from 1 species